CAUCCUUCUCCCUUCAUCCUUCCUCUUCUUCUCCCUUCAUUCUUCCUCUUCUGUCUUCCUCUUCUGUCUUCUAAUCUUCUUCGUUCUUCCUUUUUUUCUUCUGUCUUCUACGACAUGACUUUAUGAUUUCAAAAACAAAUCUCCAUUUGUUAUUAACAAUAUUGCUAACGAAACUCUAGCCGAAGGCAAAAGAAUGGCUCGAAGUCUUCCUACAUAUGUCAGUUUGCUUUCGUCGCAUUUGUGACCGGCAUCCACCGUUUGGGGUCUAAAUAAUCCACAUCUGCUGAUUCAAUGGUUAUUACGGAGAGGUUGUCCAAGGAAGAAAUUGGUUGUUUAAAAGAGUGUAGAUUUAAAAUUUGGAGUGGCAUGCCCUUUUGAUUGAUAACUCAAAUAACAGCAAAGGAGAAAAGGAGUCGGUGAACGGGCAUAUGGCAACUUAUUUCUUUGUUUCACAAGUUUUAACAAAUGCAGUAAUUUUGGUAUGUUAGUAUUACUCUUCUGUUCACUGAUGUUAUUAUUUUUCCACUAUCUUUUUGUUAUACGUCGAUUUUGCUGUUGUUCUUUGGUUUCACGGUAGUUAAAAUGAGCAUCAAGCACGCGUACGCAUCGAGGAAACAUGGGGAGGUUGUUUAUAAAGUAAGUUUUUUGGUUUCAGGUUUGUAAUUGUUCGAUGAAAGCUCCUAAAAGAACACGUUAUUUGGUACGACAGUCCCUGUUAUAAGUGAAAUAAUUUAUUUCACCUAAACUAUUUAGUAAAUAAAAUUUACCACACCGCUGAAGCAAUAUCUCUUGACUAAAAACUAGCUGAAAUAUAUUUUUUUAAACCUUUUUCCCUUUGAUUUUUAGGUGUGAAUGAAUGCAGUUAGACAAUGGUGAUAUCAUAUGCUUUCAUAAAGCUUCUGCAAUGGGUAACGGUUAACAGGAGAAAUUAAAUAUACUGAUAAAGCUUCAUUGGUUACAAGAUUGGUCAAAACUUUCUCGAUGUUUGCAUAGAUUAAAAUGUUGGAGUAUUGAGGGAAGAGGUUGCAAAUGGAGCCAUUGAAAUUCAGCGGUGCUUAUCCAUCGAGUGAGGAGUUAGAAUCUUUGGAAUUUAGAGGAACUAAAGCUCUUCCAAAUAUUAGCAUUGUGUGAAAAGAAAAAGUGUCCAGGAGAGGCUCUCUUGAUGAAAGCAAAAAAGCUGAGAGAGAACAAGUUAUUGAGUCUGAAAUUGAUUUGACGACUGGAAUUUACUCUGCUGAAGUCAUCAAUACGGUAUCUACAUAGUUCAUUCAAUCAAAGGUUGACUGGAAUUUACUUUUGCAGGUUAUAAAUAAUUUUUUUAUUGUUUACUUUUCAUCUAAUGGCAUAGUUUCUUGGCUCAGUUUAAUGUCGCUUGGCAUCAAGGUUUCGGUUUUGGUGUUGCAACUGUGGUAUUUGAGACACUACUUUCAUUCAUGACUACUAAAAGUAUUGAUAACGUGUUUCAAUAUGAGGCGGUACUAAGCUUGAAUCACUCCUUUUGCUGUUUGUUUUUACUUCAUCUACUUCUUCUCUGGUCUCUGCGUAUUUCCAUUGUGCAGGUUGUCGUAACUGUCGGUAUUGCUUUACAGGUUCUGCGUAUUAGUUCUCAAAGUUUCUGAAUUUCUAACAUGUACAAAUAAUAAUGGGUUUUUGGUCUCAUUGUUGUUGCAGUAAGAUACUGGACAGGGUGGUUUCUGUGGAGUAUACUCUGAGGGAUGAUAGUGAGAGGGUUGAUUAAAGCUGUAGCAGUCCCAGAAGAGGAGGAGGUGGUAUCACAGCCGUUCACCGGUACGAAGGUCAAGGACUUAGGUGAUGUCUGGUUUGAGAUGUGUGGCGCAUUUGGUCGGAUAUGAUUGUUGUACUGAGGUGUAUACAAGCCUGAUAUGGGCAGUAUGCGGUAAUGGAAGUGCUAUCGCGUCCGUCUGCAAUGCGGAGAGGAACUAGGUGCACAUAUGCGAGGAGGAGGAGGAUUUAGUAGGAACUAAGCGUCACAUUUUUAUGUCGGCUCAUCUCCACCGAAUAGACAGAUAUCUACAUCCGAUUAGCGUCGAGCAUAUACGCUCUUGAAUUGCACUUUAAGAUAUUUGGUUUUUUCUACUAAUGUUUAGUAUUGUCUUUUUGAUUUCUAGCUAUGGUACACGGUGUGGUUCGGUUGAUGUGCUAACAUAUUCUUUUUUUGUCUAAUUUGGGUGCUGUGGUAUUUGCUCAAUUUUGUUUGGUAGGUGCGGUUGGAGGAAAUCAUGAAGCCGACAAUAAUUCGUCCGGGGUACCUGUCAUGUGCUGCAGUUAUGAGGAGCAGUAGCCUUUGGUUCUAUGCAAUUGGCAUUACAAAACCAAUUGAAUUUGGAGAUGCAUCGUAUCGGUUUAUGCAUUGUUGCAUCUGAUCUUUUCGGAGUUAUGUUUUUAUCAAUAUUUUGAUUGGUCUGGUGCAGGUGAAUGAUUUGGAAACAAGUAUGAUAGUGAAUGCGGCCCGUUUUGUCGGCAGACCAAUGCAGUGAUCAUUUGAGAUCAAUCAAAGUCAUGGUUCUGCAUGUUGUCAUUUAAAUCUUAAAUACAGACUUAUUUUCUACUUCUGCCUGUAUUUAUAAAGGUAUUAUAUAAU